AUGUCGAAGGAACCACAGCUGGCUGGCUGCCACUGUGUCCCAUGGUCCUCGUCCCGCUCCCCCCUCCCCUCGGCGCUGCCCCGAGCUCCCCCUGCACUGCUGGCCCAGCUGCCAGAGGAGGACACAGAAGGGGUUGGGUCGGGGGGGGCCCCACACAGGGUCUCGGGGCCCCCACGGCUCGGGAAGGCCUGGGUGACCCGCGCUGUGUGUGCGAGUGACCCAGGGCUCAGCCCAGCCAUCCCUCCCUCCCUAGGCCGGAGCCUGUCCCCGCCCUGCUGCCGUGGGACCCGGAAGGGGCCCCCACAUGUGUUGACGCAGCGGUGCUGCAACGCGGUUACAAUGUCCCCAUUUCAGAGCCGAGCAGACUGGGGCUCGGGCAGCAGGGUCAGUGCCUUGCUCUCCACGGCCCUGGGCGGAUGCGGCCACUCACGGUCGCCGAGCUGCGGCCCCACCGGGGAAGGCAGGUCCCGUAACUCUUCCCAGCGAGCCCUACAGCGGGCCAGCCCUGACCCGGGGUCGGGAGGACUGGUGGCUCCCAGCUGCUCCCGAAACAGGGCCCGGCCACGCAGGAGGCAGAGGGGGCGGGGAGCAGCCAACGCGGAGGAGCCUGACGGGGGUGGGGGUGGGCGCAGGGGGUACCUUGGCAGAAACCGUCAAGUGCCAGGUGCUUCCACAGCUGCAGGGCUCCACCCCCGGGUCCGCAUUGUCCCCGCCUGUUGGAAAAACAGAUGUUCUUGUCCUCAGUUCCGUCCCUUUGUCCCCAACAAGCACUUAAGCGCAGAAAGAGGGUGGAGAACUGGGGACGGAAUCAGGCAUCUAUUCUGGGCUGUUGCCGUGGCUGCUGUGGGGGGUGGGGAGUGGGGGGGGGUAAGUGGGGCAGGAGGGCCUCCCCCGGCCGGCGGGCUCCAGGGCUGGCGGGUGCCACGGGCUGGCUCCGGGAGGAGGGUGCUCGUCUCCUGGGCUGAUGUCGGGGGCGCCCCUGGCCUUUUGCCUCCGCUUCCAGGAUUUGGGAGGCUGAGUGAGGUCAAGGGCUGA
rnacentral:lncRNA from 1 species